AUUGAACGCUGGCGGCAUGCUUUACACAUGCAAGUCGAACGGUAACAGGCCGCAAGGUGCUGACGAGUGGCGAACGGGUGAGUAAUGCAUCGGAACGUGCCCAGUCGUGGGGGAUAACUACUCGAAAGAGUAGCUAAUACCGCAUACGAUCUAUGGAUGAAAGCGGGGGACCGUAAGGCCUCGCGCGAUUGGAGCGGCCGAUGUCAGAUUAGGUAGUUGGUGGGGUAAAGGCUCACCAAGCCAACGAUCUGUAGCUGGUCUGAGAGGACGACCAGCCACACUGGCAGUGAGACACGGCCCAGACUCCUCCGGGAGGCAGCCGUGGGGAAUUUUGGACAAUGGGCGCAAGCCUGAUCCAGCAAUGCCGCGUGCAGCAAGAAGGCCCUCGGGUUGUAAACUGGUUUUGUACGGAACGAAACGGUUCUGGUUAAUACCCGGGGCUACUGCCGGUACCGCAAGAAUAAGCACCGGCUCGCUACGUG
rnacentral:rRNA from 1 species